UACGUAGGGUGCGAGCGUUAAUCGGAAUUACUGGGCGUAAAGCGUGCGCAGGCGGUUCGUUGUGUCGGCGGUGAAAGCCCCGGGCUCAACCUGGGAAUGGCCGUUGAAACUGGCGAACUGGAGUGUGGCAGAGGGGGUGGAAUUCCGCGUGUAGCAGUGAAAUGCGUAGAGAUGCGGAGGAACACCGAUGGCGAAGGCAGCCCCCUGGGCUGACACUGACGCUCAGGCACGAAAGCGUGGGGAGCAAACAGG
rnacentral:rRNA from 1 species